rnacentral:tRNA from 1 species
GCUCUCUUAGCUCAGUUGGAUAGAGCAAUGGUUUCCUAAACCAUAGGUCAUUGGUUCAAGCCCAAUAGGGAGUA